GAAAAACCAUGCUGUCUGUUUUCGAGCCGAUAGUUGGAAGAAAUUUAUGGAAAUUAUGCACCGUGUCGACGACCUCGCUGAUUUCAACGGCCUUGAACUAUGUCGAAAGAGGAAGGUCACCGAUGAGGAAUCGACGAAGCGAGGCACGCCUAGCGGUAUGCAACCCGUUGCACAGGCAGUUGAAAUCGGCGAGAUCCUCGACACGGUACAUAAUUACCAAAUUUACUUACGAACGAGCAACUUACGGCCGUUGACGCUGAUCGCGCGUGCAAUGAGCCGCGGUGAGAAUGUGUCUUGGACCGAUUAGGGAACCCCC